rnacentral:lncRNA from 1 species
AAGAUGGCCUUGCACUGAGAGAGAGAGAGAGACAGAGAGAGAGAGAGAGAGAGAGAGAGAGAGAGAGAGAGAGAGAGAGGUAUAGGUAAGAAGUAAAUACAACUGGAAACAUAUUUUUAGUUAGGAAAAAUUUUGCAAGAUGCCCUGUUUAUAAAACAGAAAAUUAGAGAUAACAGAAUUUUUCUCAGAAUGCUAAAAUCAAUAUGCAAUGAAGAUAACAUACUAAAUGAUACGCUGCUGAUCACUAUUUCUGCAGAAGGACAGCUCAAGGCCCAGCAUUCUUCUCAGAGCCUAAGAAGAAUGCACUCAUCAGACAAGCAGUCACAGUAAGCAGUCAGUGCUCAGCAGCACAAGUAUCACUAGCCAGAGGGCCCAGUGUGCUUUAUAAAAGCCAGAUGGCAUGGAAUUCUGAAGGACUAAUACUCCUAGUUCAUCAA